ACCGGAGGGAGGGAGGCUGCGGACGAGUGCGGGGAGGAGUUUGUGAUGGGAGGCGCUUGCAGGGGCUCCCCCAGUUUUGCACUGUGAGCCCGGGCACAAAGAACCCUCUGCACUCCCACCGCAGGACCGCGGACGCCAGACCCUUUCCCCAGAUCUGAUGCCUGCUUCCAUCAGGGUAGGAGUCUGAAUUUCUCAUCCAUCGAGGCUGUGAUGUGGUGGCAAGAGAAGGCUGGAGGCCUCGCCCUGUUUACCCCUGUGGUUCCACAUGGCCGUCAAUGGAGUAAUCAAGGGGUUCUGGUCCACAGGUCAAGGGAAGGUCUCUGUGGUCAAAUGCUACUUCUCUGAGCAGCCCAGGGUCUGUCUGCAGAGCUCGGUGAGUUCCCGGGACAGAAGAGAUCACCGGGACAGAAGAGGGACAGAAGAGAGAGAAGGAUGCGCCCAGGUCCACAGGAUGCCCAAGGGGAAGCAGCCUUGCAGAUAAGUAUUGACACAGACAUGCCCUGGGGCCCCUGUCCACCCUUCCUUGCUCUGGGCAGGAGAGUAGAGGAGACCAGCUUCCCCAAGGGGAGGGGGGAGAAUUGGGGAUUUGACUACGUUUUUCUCUAUGCCACAGAGAGACCUUGUCUCUAUGCCACGGAGACCUUGUCCUCACUUUCUGGGGCCACAGGAAGUGUAAUUUCACACCCCACUUUUGGCACCAAGACUAUUUAAUAAGGUUGGCCAUUGGAAGGGCUGUUGAGCGUAGUGACUUCGUCUCAGAUACCUGUAGGUCUGGCAUGGGAGCCUGGGGCCUCCUGGCGGCCUGGGGUGGCCCUUCUCAUCAAUAGGAUGCCCCCUUGGCAUCCUAUUUGUGAAAGCGGCCCUGGAAGCAGGCGGGUUCUGAGCUUUGUGCCCACAGGGCACGUUCUCCUCAGUGCAAGCAUCUCUGGCAUCGCUGGUUCUAGACCUGUGUCCCUAGCAAGUCCCAGGUGCAAACACAAGCUCUAAAAAUAGGCUGCGAGGGUCCUCGAGUCCCCAGGCCAUUAAAGAGUCCCCGGGCCAUCAGAGUCCCCGGGCCAUCAGAGUCCCCAGGCCAUCAAAGAGUCCCUGGGCCAUCAAAGAGUCCCCGGGCCAUCAGAGUCCCCAGGCCAUCAGAGUCCCGCCCAUAGUUUGGUGUCCCCAGCUUUGAGGGAGAAUGGGGUGGGGCAUAAACAACCAGGCUGGGUGGGGAGCCCCUCCUGCUUCCCACCCAUGGCCUCAAACCGGGGUUACUGCUGUGUACCUCGGGUGAAUGUCAGGGCUAACGGGCGUCCUGGCUUAGAGAGGACAGAUGUCCCAGAGUCACAGUGAGGAGGCAGGCACAGCUCCAGGGCCUGUGUCUGCUCAGUGCUCUCACUUCUGUUGACAAAAGCUGAGUUUGUUUCGCUUUCUCCUGGGUCACGUUCUCUUGCUGGGAAGCAGGGAGGUGGAUGGAGGGAGUCUCCCCUGCUCCUACAAAGACAUUCUGGGGGAAGGAGAGAGGAGAGCAGUGAGGGUGCUGUGCCUUGGCCCAGCCUCCCUGGUUCCCUGGACUCCUUGUUAUUGGAGAGUUCCGGCCAGGUCUGGGGCCUGGGAGGGGCUGGGGUGCAGUUUUCUCCUGAGGCCUGGCUGGCUCUUGUCUUCCAGGAUGGGCCUGCGGGAUCGAUCUGGGGAAGGCAACGGGAGCGGAGCGUGGGCUGCCAAGGUGUUGGUCGGAUGCUGCCAGGGCCUGGGCCUGCUGCAUCUCCAGGACCCCGGCUGGUCUUCUCCUUAGGUGACUCUGGACUCUGGCCACGGUGGCACAGGGAGCAGUCUUCAGAGGUUUUCUGGAACCCUGGACAAUUCUGUGAAGACUUCAUCCUUCCCAACUCUGGGAUGGAGCCUCCUGUGGAUAAAAGCCUCCCCGGUAGGCGCUCGGCCAAGAUAGGACCUGGUUCUGGAAGACAGCUGAGGGAUAUGGGGGAGCCUGGCACCCCCCUGGACCCUGCCCGUCAGGCCUUCCGGUCUUGGCCUGGAGGCCCUUCCUGGCCCUGUGCAGACUGGAUUCCUUCUCACAUCCCAGCCAUUGACCACACAGCCUGGGCCAAGCCACACUGACUGUGCUUCCUUAAGGACCGGCCUCAGAGGCCUGGGGGGACGGCAAGAGCACUGGUUACUGACA